AUUGGGAUAGCUCAGCUGAUAGAGCAUGAGACUGUUAAUCUCAGGUCCAUGGGUUCAAGCCCCACAUUGGGCAAUA